AAUUAAUCAAAAAUGAAGAAAGAAUAAUUUCUUUGGAAAAUUGAAAAGGUGAAAUCUUUUUGGCUUCAACCUAUCUUUAAUAGCCGACCCAAGUGCUCCCACGUGAUUUGAUUACCCACAUUCUUUCUCCAUUCAUUUUUGAGAGCCUGUCCAGACAAACCUAGAGAAAGUCAGUCUCAAAGAGACACAGUGAGAGAGAGAGAGAGAGAUGGAACCUCCUCCACCACAAUCCAUUGAGACUUCAAGCAAGGACUUCCAGGCAGGACAGGAUGAGCAAGACAAGGUCGUGGAUGAGUGUUGUUCUUGCUGUUAUGACUGCACAGAGAGCUUCUUCGAUUUCUUGUUCUGUAACCUCUGUUAGAGAGUAUCACAAUUGAGUUGACUGUCUCAGUAGUAUUUUGUCCUGGCCAAAAGAGGAAAAAAAAAAUUGGCCUUAUUUAGUGAUUAUUACAUCAAGGGUACUGUAGAAUCAUAGUAAAAAAACAGCUUCUUGUGUCCUAUUGGAGAAUCAUAGUAAUUUGUUAAGGAAGAGUUGUACCUAUUAAAUUCGUUUUCUUUUAGUGCAUUCUCAGUAUGCAU